AGCUCCAAUAGCGUAUAUUAAAGUUGUUGCAGUUAAAAAGCUCGUAGUUGGAUUUCUGGUUCGCUGCGCCUGGCCCGCCUGCGUUAGCAGUUGUGAGUGCCGGUUGCGCGGUAGCCAUCCUUCUGGAGAACGGGCCUACUCUUCACUGAGUCGGGUUCGCGACCCAGAUCCUUUACUUUGAAAAAAUUAGAGUGUUUAAAGCAGGCAAUUUGCUCUGAAUACAUUAGCAUGGAAUAAUGAUAUAGGACUUUGGUUCUAUUUUGUUGGUUUCUAGGACUGAAGUAAUGAUUGAUAGGGAUAGUUGGGGGUGCUAGUAUUGAGCGGCCAGAGGUGAAAUUCUUGGAUUCGCUCAAGACUAACUUAUGCGAAAGCAUUCACCAAGGAUGUCUUCU
rnacentral:rRNA from 1 species